GAUGAACGCUGGCGGCGUGCCUAAUACAUGCAAGUCGAGCGAACAGACGAGGAGCUUUCUCCUCUUACGGUAGCGGCGGACGGGUGAGUAACACGUGGAUAACCUUCCUAUAAGACUGGGAUAACUUCGUGGAACCGGAGCUAAUACCGGAUAAUAUAUUCAACCGCAUGGUUCAAUAGUGAAAGACGGUUUUGCUGUCACUUAUAGACGGAUCCGCGCCGCAUUAGCUAGUUGGUAAGGUAACGGCCUACCAAGGCGACGAUGCGUAGCCGAUCUGAGAGGGUGAUCAGCCACACUGGAACUGAGACACGGUCCAGACUCCUACGGGAGGCAGCAGUGGGGAAUAUUGCACAAUGGGCGAAAGCCUGACGGAGCAACGCCGCGUGAGUGAUGAAGGUCUUCGGAUCGUAAAGCUCUGUUAUUAGGGAAGAACAAAUGUGUGAGUAACUCUGCACGUCUUGACGGUACCUAAAGAGAAAGCACCGGCUAACUACGUG
rnacentral:rRNA from 1 species